GACGAACGCUGGCGGCGUGCCUAAUACAUGCAAGUCGAACGAAGCUGUUUUAACUGGUGCUUGCACCGACUUAAACAACUGAGUGGCGAACGGGUGAGUAACACGUGGGUAACCUGCCCCAAAGCGGGGGAUAACAUUUGGAAACAGAUGCUAAUACCGCAUAACCACAGAAACCACAUGGUUUCUGUGUCAAAGAUGGUUUCGGCUAUCACUUUGGGAUGGACCCGCGGCGUAUUAGCUAGUUGGUAAGGUAAUGGCUUACCAAGGCAAUGGUAAGUAGCCGAACUGAGGGGUUGAUCGGCCACAUUGGGACUGAGACACGGCCCAAACUCCUACGGGAGGCAGCAGUAGGGAAUCUUCCACAAUGGACGAAAGUCUGAUGGAGCAACGCCGCGUGAGUGAAGAAGGUUUUCGGAUCGUAAAACUCUGUUGUCAGAGAAGAACGUGUGCGAGAGUAACUGUUCGUGCAGUGACGGUAUCUGGCCAGAAAGCCACGGCUAACUACGUGCCAGCAGCCGCCGUAA
rnacentral:rRNA from 1 species